UGAGACAUGUUUUCAUGGUGUGGGAAUAAGACUUGGUGGUCUUUUACAGCUAAUACAAAGGUUAGCAUCACAGCUUGUCUGUAAGGAUUGAAGCUGGGAGUGGGCAUUGGAGCUGACUUUUAUGAUAAAUGUGGCUGCAUAAAAUGGUUGUGUGGGAUAUAACUGCAACAGUAAAGAAUGUAAUUCAGACUAUUUUUAUGUAUGCUUGAGAAAAUGUUUAUAAUUUUUUUACAAAAAAAAAAAAAAAUAUGUAAAGAUUCUCCAUUUUCAACAAGAUUGGAAGUUGUAGGUUAACUUGUAUUUGACAUUACAAAAAUUCUUUCUAUUUUCCGUUUAUACUCAUGUCUAGUCAAAACACUUCCAGCAGUUUAAGAAUGGAUAAUCUAAAAGAAAAAGAAAGAAAAAAGAAAAAAAAAUGUUCAAUUAUUGAAAUGUAUUUUUUUUUUGCAAAUUGUAAUGUAUAUAUUUUUGCCAUCUUUUUGUUAUUUUAGGAUUUGAGAUACUUUCAAAUUUUACAAGUUACUUUAUACAUGUAGUUAAUGCAAUUAAAUCUGCCGAUGUGAAUAUUGCCACUAAAUUUCUUAGCAAAAAUUUUAAUUAUUUUUGUUUUUUUUAGCAAUGUUUCAAAAUACCUUACCAUAGCAAAUGCCUCUCUAGUGUAAACUAAAA